rnacentral:rRNA from 1 species
AAACUUUCAACAACGGAUCUCUUGGUUCUGGCAUCGAUGAAGAACGCAGCGAAAUGCGAUAAGUAAUGUGAAUUGCAGAAUUCAGUGAAUCAUAGAAUCUUUGAACGCACAUUGCGCCCCGUGGUAUUCCGCGGGGCAUGCCUGUUCGAGCGUCAUUU